rnacentral:rRNA from 1 species
AUUAAUAAGCGGAGGAAAAGAAACUAACAAGGAUUCCCCCAGUAACGGCGAGUGAAGCGGGAACAGCUCAAAUUUGAAAUCUCCGGUGCUUGCACCGGCGAGUUGUAGUUGCGAGAAGCACUUUCUAGGCGGAUCGGUCGUGCCUAAGUUGCUUGGAACAGCAUGUCGCAGAGGGUGACAACCCCGUCUGUGGCGCGACCGGCCGCUGACGAUGUGCUUUCGAAGAGUCGGGUUGUUUGGGAAUGCAGCCCAAAAUGGGUGGUAAACUCCAUCUAAAGCUAAAUACUGGCGUGAGACCGAUAGCGAACAAGUACCGUGAGGGAAAGAUGAAAAGAACUUUGAAAAGAGAGUUAAAAAGUACGUGAAACCGUUGAAAGGGAAACGAAUGGACUCAGCAAUGCGCCGUUUGAGAUUCAGCCGGCGGGCGGGAUCGGCGCGGGGUUUGCGGAUCUGAAUGGACCGCGGCUUCGCGCUCGUUUCUCCUCGCCGUCGCACUUCUCUUGGGCGCGCGUCAACGUCGGUUGGGACUGGGUUUGAAAGGUGCCGGGAAGGUAGGUCUGGACCUUCGGGUUCGGUCUGUUACAGCCCGGUUCUCUCAUGGCUCGGGCCUGACCGAGGAGUCGCAGCGCAUGCCUCUUGUGGCUAGGGUGCCGUCCUUCCGGCCGGUUGUCGAACGUGGUGGACUGCUUGCAGUGCUCCGCGACUGCUGCCGGUCGUUGGGGUGGUGAUCUCGUACCAUGCGCUUGGGACGUUGGCGG